CCUGGUUGAUUCUGCCAGUAGUCAUAUGCUUGUCUCAAAGAUUAAGCCAUGCAUGUCUAAGUAUAAGCAAUUAUACCGUGAAACUGCGAAUGGCUCAUUAAAUCAGUUAUCGUUUAUUUGAUAGUACCUUACUACUUGGAUAACCGUGGUAAUUCUAGAGCUAAUACAUGCUGAAAACCCCGACUUCGGGAGGGGUGUAUUUAUUAGAUAAAAAACCAAUGCCCUUCGGGGCUCUUUGGUGAUUCAUGAUAACUUUUCAGAUCGCAUGGCCUUGCGCCGGCGACGGUUCAUUCAAAUUUCUGCCCUAUCAACUUUCGAUGGUAAGGUAUUGGCUUACCAUGGUUUCAACGGGUAACGGGGAAUUAGGGUUCGAUUCCGGAGAGGGAGCCUGAGAAACGGCUACCACAUCCAAGGAAGGCAGCAGGCGCGCAAAUUACCCAAUCCCGACACGGGGAGGUAGUGACAAUAAAUACUGAUACAGGGCUCUUUUGGGUCUUGUAAUUGGAAUGAGUACAAUUUAAACCUCUUAACGAGGAACAAUUGGAGGGCAAGUCUGGUGCCAGCAGCCGCGGUAAUUCCAGCUCCAAUAGCGUAUAUUAAAGUUGUUGCAGUUAAAAAGCUCGUAGUUGAACCUUGGGCCUGGCUGGCAGGUCCGCCUCACCGCGUGUACUUGUCCGGCCGGGCCUUUCCUUCUGGAGAACCUCAUGCCCUUCACUGGGUGUGCUGGGGAACCAGGACUUUUACUUUGAAAAAAUUAGAGUGUUCAAAGCAGGCCUUUGCUCGAAUACGUUAGCAUGGAAUAAUAGAAUAGGACGUGCGGUCCUAUUUUGUUGGUUUCUAGGACCGCCGUAAUGAUUAAUAGGGACAGUCGGGGGCAUCAGUAUUCAAUUGUCAGAGGUGAAAUUCUUGGAUUUAUUGAAGACUAACUACUGCGAAAGCAUUUGCCAAGGAUGUUUUCAUUAAUCAGUGAACGAAAGUUAGGUGAUCGUAGACGAUCAGAUACUGUCGUAGUC
rnacentral:rRNA from 1 species